UACGGGGGGGGCAAGCGUUGUUCGGAAUUACUGGGCGUAAAGGGCGCGUAGGCGGCCGCCUAAGUCGGACGUGAAAUCCCUCGGCUCAACUGAGGAACUGCGUCCGAGACUGGGUGGCUUGAAUCCGGGAGAGGGAUGUGGAAUUCCAGGUGUAGCGGUGAAAUGCGUAGAUAUCUGGAGGAACACCGGUGGCGAAGGCGGCAUCCUGGACCGGAAUUGACGCUGAGGCGCGAAAGCCAGGGGAGCAAACGGG
rnacentral:rRNA from 1 species